GGGGCUGUAGCUCAGUGGCAGAGCACUUGCCUAGCAUGCAUGAGGCACUGGGUUCAAUCUUCAGCACCACA
rnacentral:tRNA from 1 species